GAUAGGGAACCAACCUAAGAAGUGUCUAUCAAUAAAUAAAUGGAUAAAGAAAAUAUAUGCACAUCUACACAGUGGAAUGCUAUGUGAGAUGACCCAGUGUUGCUGCAAGUGGAGAUGAUAUACAUGAUGUCGUUGAUCCUUUCUGUACCUGGGCAGAUAGCACUAACUGAUCACAGCACACUGUCUCAAUGAGUUGGGCCUUGUAUAUGAAGUUCUACUCAAGAAGGCCCCAGGCAGCCACCAAUGAUCAGUGAAAAUGACCAGAAAAGAUGAUCUCCCUCUCAGAAGCAGUGAAAUGGCCAAAUUACUGCCCCAGAGGUUCUUUCCAACACAGUCAUGCAUGAACUCCUGUGUCUGGAUAAAGCCAAGGCAAUUCUUUGGAUGUCAAUCAUUUUGAAGGGCGACUUUCUUGCAUGACUUGGUAAGAUCUGAAAGGAGGAUAACCACAAUGGAGAGGCUGUGGUGAGGCAUCCCCAGGCAGCUGGCAGUCUUGAGCAUCCAAAUGUAAUUGCUCUGUUUUAUUCACCACAGCUUGCCUGCUGUGUUCAUCAGACUGCCCAGUGGAACAGAAGGUAAUCAGGGCUACGACGAUCUCAGAAAGUCAGGCACGCACAACCAAAGUUAAAAAUAUGUAAAAAACAAAUUACUCAGCUGUAAUUUGCUCUCAUAGAACCCGAUUUCUGGAUAAGAACAAGAGGAAACAGUGCAAAACUGGGGCACUAAGAUUCAUCUUCGCCAAAGAAAAUGCAGGGAGAGCUGUGAACGUUUAACAACUUCAGUACCCAGUCGCCCAUAGUAAGUGCUUGCUUAAUGCCUAGACGAGACAGGGAGAUCCAGAGAGAGGGCAACUCAAGGCAUUUCUUUUAUUUAAAAAACUCUUUGAUCUAUUUUGAAAUUUAGGAUUUUGCUUUUGACUUUGCUAGAUAAAGUUGGAGUAGAAAUGAAUUAUUCAUAUGAAAUAUUGCCUCAAUAACACUGCAUCAAAUAAACAUAAUGAAAAGCUGCCCAUGUUAUAUAAGGGAAGCUAAGUCACAACUCUUUUGAAUUGCAAAGUUAAGUACUCGGGGCUAGACUCUUCUCCAACAUUAUUCUAUGGAGGAAUCCACUUAGGAGGAUGUAAUGCUCAGAUCCUUUUUAAUUCUGGUCAGACAUGCAUUUGUGGUUUAUGGGUUUAAACUACAGUUGUAACCAUGGUGUUCCUAAGGCUCGCUUGCAGUCCUCAUUUGUCCAUAUUCCAUGCAAGUCACUGGAGGCUGGAGAGCAGUUUCUGUGACAGUGUAUCCGAUACCACUCCAGCAUUUUAAGUGCAGCAUAGAAAUAUGGUAACAGGUAUUCUCAUCCUCCCCAAGAAUUGUGCACAUUAUGAUGCUUUCAACAACACUAAAGCAUACCCAUGUCCAUGGCUUGGAGGGCAAAUUUUAAAGCAAAUAGCACCCUCAGUGAUCAGCAAUGUUCCUUUUUAAACAAUGUUUUCACUAAUAGAUCAAAAGAGAGAUGAAUAAGUCUAAACAAACAGUGCAUGUCAGGGGAAUCGAGCUCUGCUGAAAUUCAAUAGAUAACACUAAAUUUUUGCUGACGAUUCAACUCUAAAGAAUUGGAGCUCAAUAAAGGUGUAGGAAAUAGCUGAGUCAGCCCUGGGAAAAAUGGUGAGGAGGGCAGAGUUUGUCUUUGGUGUGGCCCUGAUCCCAGCCUUCUAUCCUUUGGAUGCUUGGGGUUCUACAGAAGCAGGCCCAUCACAUUGAAGUGGGUAUUCAGUGGUUCCUAAUCACUGACUUAGGGUUACUGAGGAGCUUUGUAAAAUUGGAUUUCUGGAUCACAUUCUAGACCUGAAUUGGAGUCUCAAGAGUUGAGAAGCUCCCUGUGCUUCCUAAGGAAGUCUGAUGCUCUUGGGACCACUGGUGAAGUGAGUGUGUUGAGAGCAUAUAAGCAUUGCAGUUGGCCCGCAAGGCAACCUCGGGCAAAGUUGUCGUUAUGAACUGAAUGUAUGUGUCUCCUAAGACUCAUAUAUUGAAGCCUUGACCUCUAAGGUGAUAGUGUUGGGGGUAAAGUUUUUGGCAAAUAAUUAGGUUUAGAUUAGAUCACAACAGUGGACCCUCAUGAUGGGAUCAGUGCCCUUAUAAGAAGAAGAAGAAGAUGACACAGGAGAGCUCUCCAGGGUUUACUUUUAGAGCAAGGGAGCACCUCGCACAGAGCCCAGCCAACGAGAGACCUCAAUAAACAGUAGAUGUUCUCUUUUAAGAAGCAAUAUCACAAACCUAAAAUAGUAAACAUAGUGCUAUUUAUAUGGUCUGUGUUCACAAAAUUAC